AGUGAACGCUGGCGGUAGGCCUAACACAUGCAAGUCGAACGGCAGCACAGUAAGAGCUUGCUCUUACGGGUGGCGAGUGGCGGACGGGUGAGGAAUACAUCGGAAUCUACUUUUUCGUGGGGGAUAACGGAGGGAAACUUAUGCUAAUACCGCAUACUACCUACGGGUGAAAGCAGAGGUUCUUCGGACCUUUCGCGUUUGAUUGAGCCGAUGUCGGAUUAGCUAGUUGGCUGGGUAAAGGCCCACCAAGGCGACGAUCCGUAGCUGGUCUGAGAGGGUGAUCAGCCACACUGGAACUGAGACACGGUCCAGACUCCUACGGGAGGCAGCAGUGGGGAAUAUUGGACAAUGGGCGAAAGCCUGACCCAGCAACACCGCGUGAGUGAAGAAGGUCUUCGGGUUGUAAAACCCUUUUGUUGGGAAAGAAAAGCAGCAGGUUAAUCCCCCGCUGUUCUGACGGUACCCAAAGAAUAAGCAACGGCUAACUUCGUG
rnacentral:rRNA from 1 species